GACAGAGGGGGCAAGCGUUGCUCGGAAUCACUGGGCGUAAAGGGCGUGUAGGCGGCUUGGUAGGUCCGCUGUGAAAACUCGAGGCUCAACCUCGAGAUGUCGGCGGAAACCACUUGGCUAGAGUCCGGAAGAGGAGUGUGGAAUUCCUGGUGUAGCGGUGAAAUGCGCAGAUAUCAGGAAGAACACCUAUGGCGAAGGCAGCACUCUGGGACGGUACUGACGCUGAGACGCGAAAGCGUGGGGAGCGAACAGG
rnacentral:rRNA from 1 species